AGUGAUGGUGGUGAUUUCGCGAACAACUUUCAUUCAUUUCUCUUCGUCAUCGCCAUAAACGAGAAUCGCCUCUCCACAAAAGCUAAGCUUAGAGCUCACUAUGAGAAUUCGCGCGUAGUGAGAGUUUCCUUUUUCCAUGGCUACGCUCUCUCAUUUUCAUUCGUUGCUCUCUCUCUCUUCUCGGAAUUUCUCUUUCCUAGACCAACUACAUACGCAGAAUCAUCACCCGAAGUUUCACUGUUUAGGCCACCUUCAUCCAAGAAGACAGUCUUACGUCUGUACUUGUUCAAUCAGUAAUUCCAGGGCUAGUAGAAGGAAGAAGAGUAAUGAGGAGCUCUGCAACGACAUUCGCGAGUUCAUUAGAUCGGUUGGACUUCCGGAGGAUCAUGUACCUUCUACAAAGGAGCUUUCGCAGCACGGAAGGACCGACCUGGCAAAUAUUGUAAGACGAAGGGGUCACAAACAUAUGCGAGAGCUUCUUCUUGCUAAUUCAACCACUACGGUUGAAGGUGAUUGUGACUUGGGGAACAUUACUCUGACAGAAGGCCAGGAUGGCGAGGCAGAAGAUGUAGUUGAAGACCUGGUGUUGGAAAAUCCCUCUCAUAGUUCAAAUACCAACCAUGUUUUUAGUUUUGAAGACUGCAUUUCGGAUCCUACGACAACAGCCAAUUCAUCAGAGGAGGAAGAGUUGUCAACUGAUCUAAUAUGCCAUGAUGAAUACAAUGCAUCAUAUCGAGAAAAUGAUGAGAACAUCGAGACAGUUGAAGCUGAUAAAUCCAGGAAAACCGAAGUUGCCGCAUCAGAAGAUUGCUUUACUAGUUCAGAUAUUGGUUUAGGUGAUACGUGCAGUGACCGCACUGGGGAGCUAAUUGAAUUUUCAAAAAAUUUAUCAGUAGAAAAUGAUGAAAAUUCAUUGGAAUGUCAAAGUGAGGUAACAAAUAAUAAGGACGAUGAAUCUUCCUGGUCACUUGAAGUUAUUUCUGAAGAGAAUUAUUUGAUAAAUUCCACAGCUGAUGAAUAUCUUGACAUGCAUGACCAUGAUGAAGGACCUCUACUUUUGACACCUAGUUCCUCUUCAAAGGAAGAGGCCUUGUAUUAUUCAAAUGAACAGGUCGAGAAAGAAGAUAACUGUGUGGACGGUGUCUCCUUAUCAGCAGAAAUGACUAUCAUAGAUGACCGAUCUAGUGGUUUAAAUAUUGAUAGGGCUCUUGCACAUGAAGAUUCUAGUGACAAGUUGGUAAAAUAUUCAGAGGAGUUAUCCCUAGCAGAGAAGGUGGCCAGAUUUAUACAAAAUGGAGAUCUGGAUAUAGUAGAUGAUAAUUUUGAUGCCACAUUAAGCGAGAGUGGUGCUGGAAAAGGCAAUGGAUCCGUUGCAGCGACAAAUGCAGAAGAAUCUGAAAUAAACUUCCAUGUUGAGGCAUUCUCAGAAGAUACCACCGCAAGUAGAGGUUCUUUGAUGGCAUCAAAUGGGAGUGCAUCUGAAUUUGAUGAUAAGGUGUCUACCACAACUGUUGGUCAAUUAAUUAGGGAUAAUCAACCGUCAACUGAAGCUUUAAAUGGUCAAAUUGAAAAGGUGUCAGGUGCUGAGAUAAAAGUAUCUGAGAAUCAAGUCGAGAUUGAUCGUCUCAAAUUUAUGUUGCAUCAGAAGGAGCUGGAACUGUCUCAGCUGAAGGAACAGAUUGAGAGGGACAAGCUUGCUUUGUCUGCUUCGCAAAGCAAGGCUGAAGCAGAGAUCAGCCUGGCCCAAAAACUCAUUUUAGAAAGAGAUUCAGAGUUAGUUGCUGCUGAAGAGUGUCUUUAUGGAUUGGAGGAGGUUCAAAUCCAUUACAGUGGGGAAGGAGAAAUUGUUGAGGUAGCUGGUAGCUUCAAUGGUUGGCAUCAUAAGAUUAAGAUGGACCCACAGCCGUCGUCCAAUCAUCUGGAUUCUGUUAAUUCAAAGAAACACAGGCAUUGGUCUACAGUGCUGUGGCUUUAUCCUGGAGUUUAUGAGAUAAAAUUUGUCGUCGAUGGACACUGGAAGAUUGACCCUCACAGAGAGUCUUUGACCAAGGGAGCAAUAAGUAACAACAUUCUCCGGGUUGGAAGAUGAAUACAAUGAUGGAAAAUAACAUCAAGUAAUUGGCGCCUUAGGUUCCAAACAAAAAGAGUUAUUGGCAUUAAUCUUCCUACCAAUAUCCCUUGAGGCAUUUCAACAUAUCAUUUGUGACUAGAUAGAUGGACGUGUCAGCAUACUGUUUCGAACUCGUCAUGGAUACAGGUGUACAAUUUGCAUAUCCAAUAACAAACUACCACAAAGUCGUGCACGGUCAAACUGGAAUUAGCUCAGUAUCUCACCGACACUCACACGUGGGGGACAUGAACCUUAUUUCUUCUGGAGGCUACAUUUGUAAUCGUCGGUUGAAUCGGACGACUUCCAUAGGAUUCAGUUUGUAAUACAAUCAUGUAUGUGCUUGUAUAUAGCAGCUACUUUCUAAUAAGGUGCAUGAUCUGUUGAGCAAGAAUAGGGUAGAAUCCAUGAAUGUUGCCAAUGCCAUCAAUAAGAUGGGCAUAUGAAGGAAAGUACGUCUUUAGCAAUGUUGAUACAACUGCCAGACACCCAGAUUCUUUGAUUCCCAAUUUUAAGGUUAGCUUCCUUUUUUAAAUAAAUAAAAAAGGAUGUCUUUUUGGCCUAUACUUUAGAAUUAGGGUGCAAUAUUAAACUAGUUUCAGUUACUUUGUUAGAUACAUUAUUAAUCUAAUUUCACAUAUGGUAGAAGCAGAAGUAAUUUAGUCUUA